AAGCAACGAGAGGUUGGUCUGA
rnacentral:miRNA from 1 species